rnacentral:lncRNA from 1 species
GUUUUUUGCUUAUGCUGGGCUGGUGUUGCUUGUGUUGUUUGGGUGCUCGGUGGAGUCUUUGCAGGUCCGUGGAUAGUGUGAGCUAUGGUUUUGUAUUUCGGUGGUAAUUGUGCCUGAUUACAGUCACAUAAUUCUCACAAUACAAGUAUGUAAACUGAGUUUUGUGUUUGUUACAAGUAUAAUACCCCUUUGUGGAGUUGGCUAAUC